rnacentral:rRNA from 1 species
GAUGAACGCUAGCGGCAGGCCUAAUACAUGCAAGUCGAACGGGAUCCAGAUCAAAGCUUGCUUUGGUUUGGUGAGAGUGGCGUACGGGUGCGUAACGCGUGAGCAACCUACCCUUGUCAGGGGGAUAGCCCGGCGAAAGUCGGAUUAAUACCGCAUGACAUCAUUGAGAGGCAUCUUUCGAUGAUCAAAGAUUUAUCGGACAAGGAUGGGCUCGCGUGACAUUAGCUAGUUGGUAAGGUAACGGCUUACCAAGGCUACGAUGUCUAGGGGCUCUGAGAGGAGAAUCCCCCACACUGGUACUGAGACACGGACCAGACUCCUACGGGAGGCAGCAGUAAGGAAUAGUGGUCAAUGGACGGAAGUCUGAACCAGCCAUGCCGCGUGCAGGAAGACGGCCCUAUGGGUUGUAAACUGCUUUUAUACGGGAACAAACGUCGGUACGUGUACCGGUCUGAGUGUACCGUAAGAAUAAGGAUCGGCUAACUCCGUG